UACGAAGGGGACUAGCGUUGUUCGGAUUUACUGGGCGUAAAGGGCGCGCAGGCGGCAGACCAAGUCAGGCGUGAAAGCCCCGGGCUUAACCUGGGAGGUGCGUCUGGGACUGGUAUGCUAGAGUUCGGGAGAGGAGAGUGGAAUUCCCAGUGUAGAGGUGAAAUUCGUAGAUAUUGGGAAGAACACCGGUGGCGAAGGCGGCUCUCUGGACCGAGACUGACGCUGAGGCGCGAAAGCGUGGGGAGCAAACAGG
rnacentral:rRNA from 1 species